AUGAGAUUGUGAUAAAGUUUAGUAUAUAUGAGUUAAAAGUGGGGUAAUGUUUAUUAUUAUGGUAUGUGGAUGAGGUUAAAACCCUAUAUUAUUUCAGCGAUAUGGGAUAGAUCACUUAGUGUAUAUGUAUACGGUUAACAAACGUAUGAUGUAGAUGAAUCGUUCUUCUUUUCUUUGAGAUAUUUUUAUGGGGUAAUGGUAAAUGGGAAGGGUAUAACCAGAUUAAUUAAGGUUUAUAUUUGAGUUUAUGGUUUAUAGUUGGGUUUAAGAUUUAUUGAUUAGGAUUAAGGGUUAAUAUUUAGGGGUUGGGAUGGGAUUGUGAUAAGGUUUAGUAUAUAUGGGUAAGAAUUAGGAUAAUGUUUAUUAUUAGGGUAUGUGGAUGAGAUUAUAAUUCUAUACUGUUUCAGCGAUAUUGAAUAUAACAUUCAGUGUAUUUGUAUAUGGUCAAUAAAUGUGUGACGUGGAUGACUAGUUUUUUUUUGAAAUAUUUUUUAUCGAGUAAUGACAAAAGAAAAAGUAUAACCGGAUUAAUUAAGAUGUAAUUGUUAGUUUUUUAUUAUAUCAAAAUCAUUGUUAUUUAUUUAAUUUAUAUCCAGUAAUUGGCUAUUCAGAAAAUAAAUCAUACAAAUAAUACAUACCUAAAUUGUACACAAAAUGCAACUUUUUGUUGAAGAUUGGGACUUGGGUACUAAAUUAAUCUUAAAUCAAAUAAAAUUUACAUAAUGGGGUAAUUAAUUAAGCUAUCAUCAACGAAACACCAUAUUUGUUGCAUUUGUGUUUAUAUAAUUAUAUGUAAUUUCUCCCUAAAAUAUUUAUCAUAUUAAACAAAUUAAAUAUUUGAUUUCAUGUUUAUAAAAUAUUUCUUGCAAGGUGCAAACGCAAA
rnacentral:lncRNA from 1 species